UCUCAUAAUUAUAGUCAGAGUUUAUUGUGCCUCUCCCUGUCUCCCCCCUCUUCCCACUCCCCCCACCCCCCUCCCCGUGUGUGUGUAUGCAGGGAGCUAGAGAAAGCUGGCAGCACUACCUGAAUAGCUACUGAAAGAGUGAGACUUCUCAGCUCCUGCUUCAUUACUGGCUAGCAGCUAUUCCAGCGUGUGCGAGCUCCUAACUGCUUCCUCCCAUCGCAAAGCCCUUGGCUGGAAGGCUUCUCAAGGGAAAGAGGGACAGUCUGGAGAAAACAAGAUUGAAAAGAGAAAUACUGCUGUCUGGAACACCUCUGUGUACCCCUGGGACACCAGCCUGUGUGCUGGAUUUCUUCUUCUUACCCUCUGUCUGGGACAAAUUUUGAAAGUUCAGUGAUCUGCUGCUGAGGAGUGGCACCUAUCAACUGAGCUGUUCUUGGGAGGUCUUUUUGUGGCAGCACUAGAGCUAUUUCUCCUCUUCUAAUGGACAUCACCAAAUUUUCCUUUUGUGCUUUUCCAUUUGGAUGGUGGAUGUUGUCUAGCCAGGUACUCCUCAUCUUGAUCCCCUGAAUUCAGAACCUGUCAAAACAUAAUCCCCAUCAGUGCAGAGGAGGGAAAACACAGGAACUUUGCCCAGGAAGGUCUAUUUCUGAUAGCUAUUAGAACAACACCAAAUGAUGUGCUAUUUUCAUUUAAAACUUGGCAUUUUUAAAGCUCUUUGCUGCUACAUUUCAGGUUCCAUUUUAGUACUUUCUUCAUAAGGAAGCAUAGAGUAGGCAUAAAAACUUUUUAAGAUAGUGUAGGAAAGUAACUGAAGUUCCUACAUUGCACUGUUGUCCAUUUUAUUCUGCUGACUGGUGCUCCUUUAGGUAUGAUCAUCUUUGUUUUAAUCCCUUCAGAUGUAUCCCUGUGAAAUAGCCAUAUGCCACAUUUUCAUGUCGUUUCCACUAUUUCCAUGAUCCUGUUUUUCACCUUUCUCUUUUAGCUUGAAUGUAGACCUACUCACUUUCUCUAUUUCUUUGACAUCAUCACAAGAAUUUCCUGUAAGCAAAAUUGUUUGCCCUAGAAGACCAAAUGCAAAAUUUCAAAUGGAAAUUAUAAGCCUCCAGCCUGCUUCUCUGUAGUUUGCUCACUAACCAGUGAGCUUGUACCAUUUUGGAUACCAUUUUGAGACAAAUCCAUCUUUUUGCUUCAGGUUAAGGAAAGAAUUGUCAAACUACAGAAACACUGUGAGCAAAAGAACUUGCACUGAACGGUUGCCUCUAACUUUCAUCCAUACUCUCCCUGUUGGAUGUGCAUUCCUGGUGUCUAGUAGUGGUGGGAUAACUCACUGGGAGUUUGUGCUCUGUCUCUGACAAUAGUAGGAACUCAAUAUGUUUGACAAUUCUAUCUUUCUGCCCAUUAAAUUGAAAUUAGUCAAUAUAUUCUAAAGUUAUAUGUCCAGCUCACAGACACAAAAGAACACAGGCAGCAUAGCAGGAUAAAUCUAAUUUCCUUAAAAAGACAGGGUAAAAUCCUUUUAGUUAUCCAUUCCUCUUCCUCUUGAACAAAUUCAAUUUCUUUCUCUUAUUCCCCCUUACUGUAAAACAGCAGCUAACUUCUUGCUACAGGUCUUUGAACAUUCAGCUGUACAUGCACCAGAAAACCUCUGUGAAAUGCUAACUACUUUUAGUGACAGUUUUUUUCAGAUAUUAUAGAAAAAAAGGCUAGAUUAGGCUAGACAGGCAGUUCUUUGGGUUUUUUUUUUUGAGAUGAUUAUAGGAUAAGCAGUGUUUUCAAAUUAUUACCCAUACCCUUUCUCUCUAAACCCUAAACUCUUUAAACUGUACAUAGCUAUGACCCUUCAUGUGACCUCUCAGAGUAUAAAACCUAUUGUUUUCUUUAUGCAUUUUUUUUUUUAUCUUAGCACAUUAUUUGUUGCAAACAUUAUUCAUCAUGCCUCUGCUUUCAAGCAUAUCACCCAUUCAAAAUCCCCCAGAAUAUUUUUUCUAUAUCACAACUCAUGAAUAACAGUAUUUUCCCCUUUUGACACACCAACACCUGAAAACAAUGAAAAUCAUUUUCCAGUAUGUGAAAAGAGCUGCAUAAACUCACCAUUUUGUAUUUAAUUAAAAUUAUAGACAGACAAGUAGUAGUUUUUUUAUAUUUUUCUGCAUGAUUUUACAUAGUGGUUAAACUCGAUUUUUUAUUAUUUUCUCUGAGGUCAGGUUCUAGUUACCUUUCAAAGGGUUGAUGGCAUGUUGACUUGCCAGGACACAGAGGAGCAGGGUAAGUGGGUGGCUGUGUAACCCUGCUGCCCUCUUACUAAGACCACAGUGUAGUGAAUAGGAAACACAGUGGAAUUUUUCAGUGUGAAAAACCUGCUGGUGAAAGUGUUCUGCCAGACUACAGCUGAGUCUGACGAACAGACGCAGUCUAACAGACUGCAGGGCUACUUGUUAGAGGGGCAACUUGCUUUGUUGUCUCCUCCAGACUUGAAAAAUAACACUGGAAAGAAUGGAGUCUCCCAGGAUCCUGGCUGCAAAACCAAGGAGUGGGUGCUGGCCUCUGGAUCAGUUUUAUCAGGAUUUUCAAACCUUCCUGUAUUUUCCACAAAGUCCCCUAAAUAUGGACAUUGUUCUUGCCAGUCUUGUUGGCUUUGGUGAUGUUUGGCCUGUAAAAAGUGUUCCAUGGAGAAACAUUAAAACAAGCAAAAUGUAUGUAAUUUCCUGAUAGUAAACCAGAGCUUUUUUGUAUUUCUUUAGCUUUAACACUGUGAUAGUCUUUGAUCAAUUAUCUCAUUUCUUUUCCCUUUUGCAAGAGUAACAUUCAUCUAUUUCAUUGUCAAAGUUUAUGAUAAGAUAGGAAAAGGCAGUGCUAAUGAAUUGCUUACAACAAAAGUAAUACUACUGAAAUCAUUAGCAACAAAAGUACUUUGUGAUUGGAGGCACUUCUGGAAAAUUACUAUUAGAUUCUCUUUACUGCAGGCCAGCUAGGAAAAUGUCAGACUUCUCAUUUCAAAUAUCUGAUGUAGUUAUGUGCAUUUUCUUCCUUCUGAAGGUUCAUCCUUAUGUGAAUAUUUGUACUUACUGUCCUUCAGAGUGGCUAGCACAGAGUUUCCAGUUUUGCAGCUUUACAUAAAAGUACAGCUAGGAUUUAAGAUGUGCCAUAUUUGCCAAAAUCCGAUAGUACUUUCCCAUAAAUGUAUGAAAUAAAACACUUCCUGAGCUGGCUGUCUAGUAUGUGUGUGCCAUCAUGCUAUUUAUGUUACUGCGCUCCUGAUAACGAAUACAUAAGCAUAUGGUUUUUUUCAGAUAAGAAUCAAGUUGAUAAAUAUUUAUCUGACUUCUUUCAUGUUUAGGCUGGAAAUCACUCAAGUAAAGAAAAGCAAAGCAAAGCAAAGUUGAAUUUUGUGCAUAUGGUGCCACUCCUUGCCUAUUCAGCCCCUCCCCUGUUGAGGACAAGGGCUGGAGAUGAAGUUAUGACAAUGCUUUGGAGCUCUGGUCUUUGGCUGAUAUUACUAUAGCAAAAAUAGAGACAUAGAUAUCAAUUCUGCCCAAUAUAGAUGUGCAGCUGGUGGCCUUGUCUGCUGGCCACAACAGCAGCAGUGUCUGGCCAUAGACUACAAAGAUGGUAAGAAUAAAAUGAAGAAAGCACAUGAGAAAUCAAGUGCAAAAUCCUAGAGAUCAUAGAGCGGGAGAAUGGUGAGAAAACCAAUAAAUGUUUCAAUCACACCAGGAGCAAGAGGUCACUAAGAGGUUUAGAAAUGUUCUUUGAGAAGGAGCAAGCAAUUUAUUGACACAAAAAAUAUUUUCUAGGUAGCACACUAUCUCCAAAAAUUGGUCCUUUUAUCUAUGAAGUGGGAUGGGAAGAAGUCAGAAACAGUCAAACAUAUUCUUGCAAGGAUGAAAAGGGAGGAAAGUAAAAAUUCAAGAUCUGCAAAAGAAGGGAUUAAAUAUAUAUCAAUUCCAAGAAAAUCUAGUGUACAAUAAAAAAUUAAGUAUGAUAGGAAAUUAGUCACAUCAGUUGGAUGUGAAAGUAUUUUUUUGGUAUGUAAACCAUGCAUUUGGAGUCUGAAGACCAAGAGCAUGAAAAGAAGUACCAUCUUUUAAUUUCAUCAUCCAGUGUAUUCAGUGUUCUAUGACUGUAAGCAAACUCUUCCUCGCUGACAUGCUAUGCUAAACAAGAUCCUAUAGCCUCCAUUCUACAUAAUCAACAGCCUGCUUUUUAUGAAAUAUGAUGUUUCUGUUCAAAUGAAGGAUGCUGAGUGAUUGACAGAUGCUGAAUGCUUUACUUCCACAUUUAAUGUCAUCUUUAAUACCAUCAGAUCUGUGUGCAUGUGCAUGUUGUGUUCUUAUGUGGGUGCAUGUGUCUUGGCAGUACCAUAAGGAGCUGGAAAAAUUCUGUUUGGAAACAGAAGAUGCUCAACAGUAACCAGAUAGUCUAAACCAUCAGUGAAUAUGUGGGAUCCCUCCUCUGCCUGAUUUGGUCCACAGAUUUGGAUAUAGGCUUCCUAUCUCCCACAUGAGUGUCCUGGGCUAUUAGUUCUGCUGUUGUAGACCUUUUUCAUUCCACGCUGAUAGAGGUUGUAUUCAACAUUUAUUAUAUCUGCACAAAAGAGAAAAAGGUCUUGAAACUUCACACUGUCAGCACGUACCAAUAAUGUGCCAAAGGGUCCAGGUUCAUUCCAGUGUGUUUUAGUAUGUGUGCACAGUGGCUUGUCUUCAAUGUGCUCAGAGCCAUAAACAAACAGAGUGGAUCACUAUUUCUAGCAGAGAUGUGAAAGACUGGAGCAUCCCAGAGAAGCAGUUAAUACCUGCCUCUCUCAGCUCCCACAGCCAUGUUGUCACACAAGAUCAAUCUGAGGCACCUCUUGCUUUGCAUGGAACCCCUGCUGGUGACCUGAAAGAUCUCUGGCAGCAGUUUAGUGAAGAAGCUGCACUUUCCAGCCUCUGAACUCAACAGGAACCAUAGUCACAAGGAGUUUGUAUUCACAGUUGUAUGUAAGCAAGAGUUUCUUUGCAUUGUGUGCCUACACCCUACAUAUUUUGGCAUUUCUGGGACGUUUUUGCAGAAUGGUAGGCAUCUGAUGUUACAUCUCUGUUCUCUGCACCUUUGGUAUGUGCAUCCUUUGAUAUCUAUAACUGUCUGAAAAUGAAGGAUUUUCUCCUCUACUGACAAUGCAACAAAUCCUGGUGCAGCAAUUACUCCUCCCUGUGUGUGCAUGAGGUGCUCACUCAUGCUCAGUGAUGUUACCCUCGGUACUCAGUGAAAAGUUAUGCUUGGUACUCACUGCAAGGAACAUGGCACACAAAGAAGAGAGAAGGUACUGAAAGCAAUCUCAGGGAAAGGCAGCUUUGUCAGAUCAAGGCAAAGUGGGGGCUAAAAAUAUUGGAAUGGGCAGAACACACACACAGAUGGGAAAAUGCAAGUACCUCUAGACCAAGGAAAGGUAUGUGUUAUAAAUUUGACAGAUAAAUCCUCACCUAGCAGAGUGUGCCUUGAUAAUGAAAAGGAAAUAUACAGUUAAUUGUGAAUCACAGCAGUCAUGUCCCACUUUAGUUUCAACUAUUAAAGAUGGACGAGUUAAUUACCACCUAGUUAUCUAACAGAAAGAUUCACCAUAUAAAAUACCCUUGUGGAAAACAAAGUCAGCAUGGUUUCACCUCCUGUUCUUAAUGCAGAAGAAUCAGAGAAUUGUAAGCUUGUUAUGUGAUCAGUAACUGCCAGAGUGGAAUAAAAAUACAGUCAGAAAACAUGACUAUAUACCCCAAAGGUUUCCAUGAAAACAUCUCACACAAAACUACAAGGAAAAAAUAUUCAGAGGUUUUUUUGAGUAGGAGACAAUUUUCCAAAAAUUACUGCAGGAAUAUUGCUCAUGGAAUAAUAGAAAUUCAGCAAAAAAUAUGUUUUUCACAAAUUUCACUCCUUACUUCAUCUCCAUUGAUUGCAUAAAUAUGGUCUAAAAUGGCAGCACCAUUACUUGGUGUCCAGGUGCUCUCACAGGGGCCACCACAACCCAGGGAUCACCGAGCAGUUGAAGGCAGGCACAGACUCAGCAUCCCUGAGCCACCUUUGAGUCCAGGCCUGAUGUUGAUACCUAUGUUACACUGCCACUCGUGCUGGUUCCCAGCCCUCAGACACUAGGGGCCAAAUAGCUGGGUAAUAGAUUAAUAAUUUCACCUCUCUGAUUGCUAUGAUGAGGGAGCUUAAGGCUGGUGCAGGUUUGAUUGGACCAGACACCCUAAACCCACCUUGAAGAGGAACGACUUUGUUAGCUCAGCUCCUGUGCUGGGAUAAAUGGUUAAGUCUCCACUGAUGUCAGGGAGAUUCAGCCAUUGGCACCAGAUAAACAGCUGGAUUGCUGAGAGCACACCCCUGUGCUCUAACAAGCAGCUUUGCAGCAGCAGCUGCACAGAGAUCCAGAAACAGCCUUCCACAGCCUGGGCAGAGGACUUGGAGUUAAGUUCAUCUCAGUGGGAAGUAUUCCUUUGCAUAUCUUCUGGUACACAUGAAAGAGCAUAGCUACCUGUUGUUUUGUGGAGUGAGCAUGAAGAGAACUCUAUACUGCAAACAGAAGGUGUGAGCAUCAUUCCCUUUGAAGAUGAAACCAGAACUAUAGACUCUAGGAGCAAAAGUGUCAGGAGCAUCAUUAGUAACUUUCCUGUUUCUUCAGCACACAGUUGAAAGGCUGCUGUCAUGGCAAUUCUAAAAUAUCUCCUUUGAAAUUAUUUUAGAUACCUUUUUUGCACUUAACCUUAUGGUUUUCCAUCUACCUUUUUUUUUUUCUUUUCAGCUCAAUUUGUGUAGCAUUCCCUUUAUUUUAAUUCCUUAUAUUUAUUUCCUAAUAUUUAAUUUUGUAACACUGAACUGGGUUUGGUUUUACAAAGCAAAAUCCAAAGGUAUGAGAACGAUAAGAGUGAGAUGACUGGAUAGAUAGGCAGGCAGGCAGACAGACACUGAGAUUUUCUAUCCUUAUAGCUUAGCAAAUCAAACCCUGGUUAACUUGUCUUAUUUAUCUCAUACUGCUUGUACCUCCUGGUCAAGAGAGUAAACUUUUUAUCCUAUUUGCUUUGAAGGUGACAUCACAGAGCAGUCUGAACAUCAGAAAUAGAACUGUACCCUAGCAGAUGCCAGCUGAGUAAAAUCUUGGGCCAUUUUGCACAAAACAAAGUAAAAAUGUUGAUAUUUUAAAACACAGUGGAACUGAUCAAGGAUGUAGGAUUCUGAGUACUAAAUGUUCUGGACUCGGGCCUAUUUGUGUAUUAGUAGGAAAUGUAGGCAGCCAAGAAGCAAUCUGAUUCUGUUCAUUACAAGGAAAAACUUCUGUUUGCAGGUAUUCUCAUGAUAGGAAAAGGCAGAGACAUGCUUUUGAAACCACCACAUUGUUGUCUCAGGUAUGGGGGAGGGUGUGUGGGGAACAGGAGAUAUUUCUUGUAACCAGUGGUGCUUUUAUUGAAUACAUGAUGUACAUUCUAAAUGGCUUCAAUUAUCUGUAUG